UCCCUCGUAGCUCAAUUCGGUAGAGCCGCGCCUUGUUACGGCGAAUGUUGUUGGUUCGAAUCCAGCCGGGGGAGCCA
rnacentral:tRNA from 1 species